rnacentral:miRNA from 10 species
UGUCUGUCUGUCUGUCUGUCUGUCUGUCUGUCUGUCUGUCGGUCUGUCGGUCGUUCGGUCGGUCGGUCUGUCUCUCUGUCUGUCU